rnacentral:snRNA from 1 species
ACUUCUGAUUCUAAGAGUG